UCUGCAUCACUAUUUAGUCUGGCAAGAAGCAUUUCAGAAGAAAUUAUAACUCUUACAAAAUCAACAUAGUGACAAAUAAAAUCAAAGGAAAAGUUGGUGACUUUCAGCUAAAUGUGGUAUGAAAAAUAAUCUAAAUUUUUGUGGUUUGGGUGGACAUGACAGGAUUUGAGUGCUCUACUUGUCAUCUCAUCUUUGAAGAACACAUAUUUGAGAAGUUAGAUGCAAUCACUGACAAGAAGAAUAACAAAAUUAAUCUGGCUUAUGGAAUGAUGGACACAUCUCAGACAGAUCUGUUUGACAGAGUGUGUGAAUUAUUUGAAUCUCUGAGUACCUGAAGCAGUAAUCGAUGCCAGAGAAUUCAUUGCUCUGGGCACGAACUUCC
rnacentral:lncRNA from 1 species